AUUUACGUUGAUAAACCAAAGCUACUCAAAAAUUACCUGAAUCCCCUAGACUUAAAAUCGUUACCUACUUGUCUCCAUUUAUAUUUCUAUAUAAAUUGAAUUUAUUGAAUUUGAAUUAUGUAAAGACUUUAUUUAUUUAUGAGUCAAUUCUAAAUUGAUUUAUUUAUUAAAGAUUUUAUUUUUAAAAAUUAUUUUAUUAAAAAUAAUUAAAUCAAAUUUUAAUAAUUAAAAUAAAAAUUCUAUUUAAUUCUAUAAUUACUGGAUAUUUUUUAUAUAUAAAUUAUAAAGUUUAGUAGUUAUAAAAGAAUAAAAAUUUUAUAUAAUUUAAUUUAAAUAAUUAAGAUUUUAGAAUUUAAUGUUUUAAGUUUUAUGAAUAAAAAAAUUAAUUAUAUUAUCUUACAUUUUAAAUUAAAAUAUUUGAUUAAAAGUCAAAUAAUAAAUUGAUAUUAAUUUUAAGAGAUUAAAAUAAAUUUUAAAUUAACACAAUAUACCCUAAUUUUAUUAAAAUUAUCAAACUCCAAUUUUAACCCUAAAUUAUCAAACUCACCGUCAGUCACCGCCAGUCACCAACUCCCUUUCCCUUCCAAAACGCAAUACAUGCACAAGCAAAUACACACACACAGCAGAAGAAAGAAUAGAGAACGGAAGCCAGAGAAGAGAAGAGAGGAAGGACGCGCUGGCGCUAGUGGUCCUCGCAACCGCCGUCGCCGCCAAACCAACCGCGCGAGAGAGAGAAAGUUCGCAGAAGAGAGAUGCGUCAGAAAGAGAGAGAGCUCGCACCUUGUCAUUGCCGUCCAUGGAGCCACGAGCCGCAUCACUGUCGCCGAGGGAGGAAAGAGCACGAGCUGGAGGAGCCGUUGAAGAAGUUAUCGGCUGUGAGGCAAAGAUAAUUUUCGUUGAUAAUGGGUUUCAAUUCGGUGUAUAGGAGCUUGCUUGCAAGAUAUAUUCCCCAGGAUUCCAAAAUGAACACUCUGGCCCAUCAUUUUAAAGAAUUUUUGUUCAUACCAGAACACUUAAGGCGGUGGCUAUUGAAAAUCCAAAUGAUGCUGAUCAAGCUGCUGAAAUUGUUCUCAGUGAAUUGCACAGAGACUUAAUAUUGCCACUACCAUGGAAGAGUUGGAAAUUCAAGAAUAAAUCAAAGACUCGACAAAAAUUCAAGACUGAAAUAGAGUAUUUGCAGCUGCAUUUUUAUUGUUAACAAGAAGAGAAGAUAUGAGAGAGCGCCCUGCAAGUUUUGAAAGGGGGAGUUAGUUGGCACCAUAUGAGGGAAAGACUUCCUCUUUCGAUGUCGCAGAGAAGAGAAGAAGAAAACAAUGGUGAAGAAACAAAGAACGAUGGAAGAAGAAGAGGGUGGCGACGAUAGGGACGGUCACAGAGAAGGAUGCCAGAUCGAUAGAGAAAAGAAGAGAAAUGAGGCGACGGUGGUGAUGGAUGCCACCGCCGCUGUUGGAUCCGUAGAACUGUGUCCAUUUACCUAUCAAUCGGCAUUCUGCAGAGUUAUCCAUUUGAGUUGUGGAGUAUACACAAAUCAAUUUGUGGUUCAAAAUACCUAGACAUAUCACCAGUGAAAAAGUAGGAGGAAUUCACUGGUGAUGGAAGCAGUAACUGACAGAGAAGAUAGAGAAUGUGUAUUUUCGACCUGUAGAAAGUCCUAGCCCUAACCUUGCACACUUUGCCCUUCUUCAGAGAUGGUGUCAAGCUUUGGAGGGAAUAAAUUGAAAAAGCUAAAUCAGCUCUGGCUAAGGAUGAGGCUGAGCUUUCAAAAUUGAAAAAAGGAGAAAGCACACUUAAAGAUAUUGUGCAACAGCGAAGCGGUAUCCUUUUUCUUUCAUGCUGCUCAUGACUGACUCUGAACUUGAAUGUAAUGAAAAACAGCUGCCAGAUGCACCAGACAGGACAACGGCUGCCAAUAUUAAAGGUGGCUGAAGCAUUGCAUUUUUAGGCACUGUCUAAGUCUCUAAGACAUUAACUGUAGACGAACUGCUUUAUUUAAAGGAGGAGUUUACACUUUUGGAGCCAAACAAAAAUGGAACCAUUAGCCUAGAAAACAUCAAAGCGACCUCGAUGAAAAACGCAACAAAUGCUAUGGAGUCGCACACUAUUGACUUUUUUAGAUCAGUAAGUUCUAUGAUUUAACUGUACCAAUACUUCCAUACAAUAUAUAAAUAGCAUUUGCACCAAUAGUGCUCGCUGAUUAAAAUGAAUUUGGGUUAGAGCUUAAUGCAUUGCAAUAUAGAAGGAUGGAUUUUGAUGAGUUUCGUGCAGCUACACUCAGUGUUCAUCAACUUGAAGCACUUGAUAGUCACCCCAAAUAUAUUGCAAUAUGUUGUACCUUUAACAAGUCUUUCUUCUAAUUAUUGUUGGAUAAUGCAAUUUGAAGACAAUUGUAAAAUCUUUUUAAUUAGUAAUUUAGGACACGUUUUGUUUUUGUAGCUAUAAUAAUUAGAAGAAAGACUUGUAAAAAUAGUUGAUGGUGUGAAAGGUACAACUUAUGUGAUGCUUCUCACAUCAUGAGUUAGUCUGCCACCAGUUUUUUAAAUUGUGCUCCCUUUGUCAUUAAGCUUCUCACAGCAUCUCAAUUUUGUAAGAGAUACUGAAAAAUAUUAUGUGAUGUUUCUACUGUUUUAUUUUAGUGUGAUCAAGUAUUUAUCAUAUUCUAUUUUAGCGUGAAUAAUUUUUUGCUCAUAAAUUAAAAAACUGAAAGAUAAAAUAGAUUUAUGAAAGAGAAUUUUUUUUGCACUAACCCAUAUAGAACAUGUGUUUUCCUUUAAACAAAAAUGCCUUCUACUGAAUAUUUGCCACCAUAAUUUUCUUUGCUGUUGGGUUAGUGAAAGAGAAUUUUUUUGCACUAACCCAUAUAGAACAUGUGUUUUCCUUUAAACAAAAAUGCCUUCUACUGAAUAUUUGCCACCAUAAUUUUCUUUGCUGUUGGGUUAGUUAGUGUAUGUUGUAGCCUUUUUUCAUGGGAUCAGAAUUUGUAUCUUCUGUUUGAUACUAAUUAUAUCUAGAUAGAAGAUCAAUUUGUAGUUUACUACUUGAAAUGGCAUAAGAAACUUAUAAAUUGGCUGUUUGGUCACUGAUUUUAUGUUUCUUGGAAGAUCAAUUUGUAGUUUAGUUUACUAUUUUAUAUUUGCAUUUUGGUGUUUGAUACUAACAGAGAUAUUUAAGAUAUUUAUAUUACGAAUUUUAUUUGCAGAUUCCAUGAUGCAAAUUCCAUGUCACUUGAGUUUAGUGUUCUUAAGGAUCUCAUUGAGAUUUUAGAGAGCAAAAGUAGUAUCGAUACAAAUUGGUAGGUAUCGAUACUGCUUGCUAUAUUAGCCAGUAGUAUCUAAGACUUAUUUUUUCAUUUGAGAUCUAGCAUCAUAUGGUUAUGUUACCUUAGCCUCCUAAUAAUUGUGGUUAACGGGUUAUAGUUGUGUCCUACUUAUUGAUGGAGGGAAAGAACUUUUAAGAUUUUCAAUUUAAAGAUAAAAGAACUUUUAGGAUGCCAUCUAAUUAAUAUGUUCGUCUGAUGGUAUACCAGCAAGUACAACUAGAUUUUGUUCCUUUACUAAAAAAAGUAUUAAUUGAAAUAUAUAAGAUGCAUAGAAUUCUCUGUAACUCCAUAGCAUCAAUAAAAAAAUACUGAAUGAGAAAUUUCAACAAUCCAUGUCCCACUAUCAAAACACUGAAUGAGCAUUUUUAACAAUUUAUGUCCCAUUUAUCAAUUUAACCUUUUUUUCUUUAAAAUAUAUAAUUGUGCUAGAAGAAUUGAUAUAUGAAAAGAACAAGACUCUUCCCUAAUAAUGUAAUUUCAGAAUUAAAGCUUUUAAGUUAUAACAAAAUUAAAAAUAAAAAAAAGAAAUGAAAGAAUUUUGUUUUACUAAUUGAUUGAAUCUAAGAAUAUUUUUCUAUUUAGCAUCUCUGUGUUUCAUUUUUGUUGAAAGAAGAAGAAUUUAUUAUUCUCAAGUCACAUCAUUUUUUUUUAUCUACACCCUUCAAUAAAAAUUCUUUUAUUAGUACUUAAUUACUAUUUUAUGAUUUUAACAUACACUUGAAAUAAUGUGAAUUAAAAUUAACUUUAAUGUUUUUAUUCAUUUGUUUGCUAGCUACGUUUUGAUGUAACUGUUUGGUAAAAAAAAGCUUAGAUUUUGGAGGAUGUCCAUUUUUGCUUCAAAAGAGGGUCUUAAUGCGGCACUCGGGUGAUUAUCUGUUUAUGGAUAGUUUUUCUAGAACAAUUGAUGUAACUGUCUUUUUUUUUUGUUCUCUUAGUUUAGGUUAUCUUUUUGUAUGAAUUUGUCGUUGGAUGUAUUUUGUGGAACUGAUCUUAUUAACUUCCUUUUAGUUUUGGUAAAUUGAACUUAUAAAAAAAAGCAUGGAAAUAAUUUAAAAACAUAUAUUUGUGUUAAGAUAUGUAAUAAGAAACCGUGUCCUUAAA